CCGGCGGCCGUGCUCCUUCCUUCAACAUUUGCUUUCUUUUUCUUUCUUUUUUCUUGUUCGUUCCUGGUAUUAUCGAUGCGAUGAAGAGCUAGUUUCCAUUGACCCGCCGUCUUCAACGGCGGCGGCGUGAUGCUCACCUUUACUACUGGUCGUUAAUUUGGCGGAAGAAAGCCAGCAUUACAUGUGCUUUGGAGGAUUAAACUUGCAGAAAGCUCAGUCGGUUUAGUUCGGUGAUUAUCAAACUAAAGUUCUGAUGCGCUAUCUCACAGUUUGGUGCGGAAGAACACCUAUGUUUAUCAACAGCAUUAUGCCUACCACAGAUCAUCAUUACCAAAACAAACGAUGAAACAUAUCAUUCUGAAUUUCUGAUUGACAAAAGCAGUUUACAGAUUAGCCGAGGGGGAGGCUCCGGCUUCCCUCCAUGAAACAUAUCAUUAUUAUCAGUAUGUUUCAUGUACCCAAUUUAAUUUUGUAUUUUGACAUUUUUAUGUGGAAUUAAUGAACCACAUGUUUUGGUUUCUCUAGUUUCCUCUCUCUUUGCUUUGCUGGCAGUAAAUUUCUUGUUUGGGGAUCAAUGGAAGCAAAUGAUGAUAACAAGACAGGGACAUCAGAACCCUGAAUUUCAGGUUAAUGACAGACUACGUCUAUAAUGGGAAUCUCUCUGAUGUUUCUGAUUUUCCCAAGAUA